CUGCGAUACCUCAUGGGAGGGUGAGAACUCUCGUUGGGUUCGCGCCGAGCGCAGCGAGACAACAUCGCGUAGCGAUGGCCCGAAGGGAAGGCGCUAGCGCCGUAUCAUUCCUCCCUCACCGCCA
rnacentral:sRNA from 1 species